rnacentral:rRNA from 1 species
AGUGAACGCUGGCGGUAGGCCUAACACAUGCAAGUCGAACGGCAGCACAGGAGAGCUUGCUCUCUGGGUGGCGAGUGGCGGACGGGUGAGGAAUACAUCGGAAUCUACUCUGUCGUGGGGGAUAACGUAGGGAAACUUACGCUAAUACCGCAUACGACCUACGGGUGAAAGCAGGGGACCUUCGGGCCUUGCGCGAUUGAAUGAGCCGAUGUCGGAUUAGCUAGUUGGCGGGGUAAAGGCCCACCAAGGCGACGAUCCGUAGCUGGUCUGAGAGGAUGAUCAGCCACACUGGAACUGAGACACGGUCCAGACUCCUACGGGAGGCAGCAGGGGAAUAUUGGACAAUGGGCGCAAGCCUGAUCCAGCCAUACCGCGUGGGUGAAGAAGGCCUUCGGGUUGUAAAGCCCUUUUGUUGGGAAAGAAAUCCAGCUGGCUAAUACCCGGUUGGGAUGACGGUACCCAAAGAAUAAGCACCGGCUAACUUCGUGCCAGCAGCCGCGGUAA